UAACGCGAAGAACCUUACCAGGUCUUGACAUACUAUGCAAAUCUAAGAGAUUAGACGUUCCCUUCGGGGACAUGGAUACAGGUGGUGCAUGGUUGUCGUCAGCUCGUGUCGUGAGAUGUUGGGUUAAGUCCCGCAACGAGCGCAACCCUUAUUAUCAGUUGCCAGCAUUAAGUUGGGCACUCUGGUGAGACUGUCGGUGACAAACCGGAGGAAGGUGGGGAUGACGUCAAAUCAUCAUGCCCCUUAUGACCUGGGCUACACACGUGCUACAAUGGAUGGUACAACGAGUUGCGAACUCGCGAGAGUAAGCUAAUCUCUUAAAGCCAUUCUCAGUUCGGAUUGUAGGCUGCAACUCGCCUACAUGAAGUCGGAAUCGCUAGUAAUCGCGGAUCAGC
rnacentral:rRNA from 1 species